AAGAGUAAAGUACUUCCGCUUCCUUAGGUGGAGCUGGAAAGGUGGAGGCGGAAGUGACUGAUCAAUUCAGGGGCGUGGGGUUCGUUUAGGUUUUGCCCUGUGUAUGACCUCGUUUGGAGCCAUGAAACCAGGUGGCUUUUCUACAAUAUAAAGAUGGAAAUGGGAAGAAGAUGUUCAUUGCAAAUUAAGGAAGCUCUUCCACGAGUUCACGAAUGGAAAUAACAUCAAGAGUUUUUCAUCUUCUUAGUGUGCAAGGUUAUUUUAGGGCAAUGAUGGAAAGCACCAAGUGGAGUCUGGAGCUAGACUGAUCUGUGUUCAAUCCUGUCUUGGUUACUCAUUGGGGGGCCUCGACUUUCAUGUCUCUGUAAUGUCCCUGACAGUAUCUGCCUCACAGGGUUGCUGUGAGAGUCAAGCGAGAUAAAUAUCAAGGAGUGCAAUUCCUGGAUUUAUGAUGUCUGAGGAAUAGUCUUAGUGGAUUAUCCCAAACUUGACACAUUUUUUGCAAAAUGCUAUACAAAAAGAAGAUACAUGCGAUUAUGACAAGAUUCUCCACUUGGUGUGACCAGUCUCAUACAACCCAAGGCUGUGUGUCCAAAGGCAACUGUACUGAAUACCGGAAAGCAUGUAUUUGUUUGCUAAAUUGCUCUCUUUCCACCAGUGAUAUCAAUUCUGAAAUACUUUUGAGAUCUUGACAAUAAUCAAAAGGUAGCCAGGUGCAUCGGGGAAAGCACUGACAUUGGAGUCAGACAGACUGAAGUUCAUAUCUGAUUCUGCUAUAUGACAACGUGUGGGCUAUGUGGCUAACUUCUCAGAGCUUCAGUUUUCUCAAGGGCAAAAUGAAAAUAAUAGAAAUAAUAGAAUCCACCUCACAGGGCUGUGGUGAGAAUUGGAGAUGAAGCACAUACAGCAUAUUACAUCAACUAAACACAUGCUAAAAAUUAAAGGGGAUGAAAGAUACAUUGGUCCCUGCAGUGGGAAGUUUCCUUGACAAUGCAAUUAUUGAUUCCAGAAGGCUGAACAAAUGUUGACAGAGGAACACACUGUUUGCUUAUGUCUAAUCUUCCCAUCUGACUUAUAUAAAUGUCACAAAUGAAUCUCAGACAUGUGCCCAAUAUCAAAUAUCCAUACGAUGGCCCUGGAAAGAGGCAAUCUACAUUUAUGGCUGAUGAGAAGAUGGAUUUUUAGCUUGAAAGAAACUUAUUACUGGGGAGAGGAAGUAUAAAUGAAUGGAGAGAGCUAUGAAGAGGUUGAGAGAAUACAGCCAAGGCACAUGACAGAAUUGCUCUGUUGAAGUUUUGCAAGGUCAAAUGACUCACUUUGUCUAAUGGAACGGGAACGAACAAUUUUUUUGUGUCACGUUUGAACAGAUACCUUUGAGAAGUUUAUGAUUCUCCAAGUUCUCUUUCUCCUACUGUGGCACCUACUGACAAGAUAAAUGUGUAGAGGUUCCUGAGUCUAGGGGCACUGGAACCAGCUGACUGAUCUAUGGAAGUUCCCUUGGUCUCCAUUUGUUUAGAAAAGGGAUGAAGAAACUGAGGCCCACAGAAGGUGGGUGAUACCUGCAAAAUCACAAGCUUUCAUGGUGAAAGAAGAGGGCAAAACUCAACCCGUCUCUUUAGACUUGGGAAGAAUAUGAAAGGACCAGGAGGGACACCUUUCCUAAUAACCUAGCUGAUGGUUCACUUAUUGUAAGCACAUUCUCAAACAAGAGGCUGGAAAGCUGAAAAAUGACAUUCCCAGACUCCAUUGAAAUUAGAUUUCCAGAGGUGAUUUAUGUUCCACACAUCAGAUGUAUAUGCUCAAGAUUUGUUUAACAGGGAAGGAGGCAGUGGUGUGUGGGUCCCUUUUGCUCAUGUGAAUCUUACAGAGUUGUCUCACUAAGCCCAAAUUUGUCUAACUGGCCUUAUUUCCCUGGAGUAUAUCCUGGAAGUUUCCAUUCAAGCCAAUUUAAGUUACUUUAAAUUAGGAAAGGCAGAAAACAAAAGCCCAAACCUUUGUAAAGGAGGAGGAUUUGCUACAUUGUUCUCAAUUCAUCACAGAAGAGGAUGAAACUGAGUGAUUACACUUGCUGGAGAGAAAAAAAGUCCUUCCCCCGCUCACCCCAAAUAAAGCAUUAACUUUAUGUUAAUCCAUGAA
rnacentral:lncRNA from 1 species